rnacentral:rRNA from 1 species
UACGAAGGGGGCUAGCGUUGUUCGGAAUUACUGGGCGUAAAGCGCGUGUAGGCGGCUUUGCAAGUCGGGUGUGAAAGCCCUCAGCUUAACUGAGGAAGUGCGCCCGAAACUGCAGAGCUUGAGUACCGGAGAGGGUGGCGGAAUUCCCCAAGUAGAGGUGAAAUUCGUAGAUAUGGGGAGGAACACCGGUGGCGAAGGCGGCCACCUGGACGGAUACUGACGCUGAGACGCGAAAGCGUGGGUAGCAAACAGG